rnacentral:rRNA from 1 species
UACGUAGGGGGCGAGCGUUGUCCGGAUUUAUUGGGCGUAAAGAGCUCGUAGGCGGUUUGGUAAGUCGGGUGUGAAAUCUCCACGCUCAACGUGGAGGGGCCACUCGAUACUGCCAUGACUCGAGUCCGGUAGAGGAGUGUGGAAUUCCCGGUGUAGCGGUGAAAUGCGCAGAUAUUGGGAGGAACACCAGUGGCGAAGGCGGCUCACUGGACCGGUACUGACGCUGAGGCGCGAAAGCGUGGGGAGCAAACGGG